rnacentral:tRNA from 1 species
GGAGAGGUGCCGGAGCGGUCGAUCGGGGCGGUCUCGAAAACCGUUGUACCUUUAUGGGUACCGAGGGUUCGAAUCCCUCCCUCUCCGCCA